rnacentral:rRNA from 1 species
AGAGUUUGAUCCUGGCUCAGAUUGAACGCUGGCGGCAUGCUUUACACAUGCAAGUCGAACGGGGGUGGGGGCAACUCCACUUCAGUGGCGAACGGGUGAGUAAUGCAUCGGAACGUGUCCCGUAGUGGGGGAUAACGCCGCGAAAGCGGCGCUAAUACCGCAUACGCUCUGUGGAGGAAAGCCGGGGACCCGCAAGGGCCUGGUGCUAGGGGAGCGGCCGAUGUCCGAUUAGCUAGUUGGUGGGGUAAUGGCUUACCAAGGCAACGAUCGGUAGCUGGUCUGAGAGGAUGAUCAGCCACACUGGGACUGAGACACGGCCCAGACUCCUACGGGAGGCAGCAGUGGGGAAUAUUGGACAAUGGGCGAAAGCCUGAUCCAGCAAUGCCGCGUGUGUGAAGAAGGCCUGCGGGUUGUAAAGCACUUUCGGUAGGGACGAAAAAGAUCGGGCUAAUAUCCCGGUUCUUGACUUAACCUAUAGAAGAAGCACCGGCUAACUCUGUGCCAGCCGCCGCGGUAAUAC